GGGAGUUUAGCUCAGCUGGUUCAGAGCAUCUGCCUUACAAGCAGAGGGUCGGGGACGGUCGGCCGCUGCCGUUCAAUCCCUCAACUCCCA
rnacentral:tRNA from 1 species